rnacentral:rRNA from 1 species
GUCGAACGCUGGCGGCGUGCCUAAUACAUGCAAGUCGAACGCAGUUGCGAACGGGUGAGUAACGCGUAGGUAACUGCCUCAUAGCGGGGGAUAACUAUUGGAAACGAUAGCUAAUACCGCAUACUGUGAGAUGGAUCUGCGUUGUAUUGGCUAGUUGGUGAGGCUAAGGCCCACCAAGGCGACGAUACAUAGCCGGCCUGAGAGGGUGAACGGCCAAAAUGGGAAUGAGACACGGCCCAGGCUCCUACGGGAGGCAACAAUAGGGGAUCUUCGGAAAUGGAGGGAAGGCUGAACGAGCAAAGCCGCGUGGGUGGAGAAGGUUUUCGGAUCGGAAAGCUCUGUUGUUAGAGAAGCGGUAACUAACCAGAAAGGGACGGCUAACUACGUGCCAGCAGCCGCGGUAAUAC